AUUGAACGCUGGCGGCAGGCUUAACACAUGCAAGUCGAGCGGGGUGAUGGUGCUUGCACUAUCACUUAGCGGCGGACGGGUGAGUAAUGCUUAGGAAUCUGCCUAUUAGUGGGGGACAACAUCUCGAAAGGGAUGCUAAUACCGCAUACGUCCUACGGGAGAAAGCAGGGGAUCACUUGUGACCUUGCGCUAAUAGAUGAGCCUAAGUCGGAUUAGCGAGUUGGUGGGGGAAAGGCCUACCAAGGCGACGAUCUGUAGCGGGUCUGAGAGGAUGAUCCGCCACACUGGGACUGAGACACGGCCCAGACUCCUACGGGAGGCAGCAGUGGGGAAUAUUGGACAAUGGGGGGAACCCUGAUCCAGCCAUGCCGCGUGUGUGAAGAAGGCCUUAUGGUUGUAAAGCACUUUAAGCGAGGAGGAGGCCCUUUUGGUUAGUACCCAAGAUGAGUGGACGUUACUCGCAGAAUAAGCACCGGCUAACUCUGUGCCAGCCGCCGCCGUAA
rnacentral:rRNA from 1 species